rnacentral:rRNA from 1 species
UACGUAGGGUGCGAGCGUUGUCCGGAAUUACUGGGCGUAAAGAGCUCGUAGGUGGUUUGUCGCGUUGUUCGUGAAAACCGGGGGCUUAACCCUCGGCGUGCGGGCGAUACGGGCAGACUUGAGUACUGCAGGGGAGACUGGAAUUCCUGGUGUAGCGGUGGAAUGCGCAGAUAUCAGGAGGAACACCGGUGGCGAAGGCGGGUCUCUGGGCAGUAACUGACGCUGAGGCACGAAGGCUAGGGGAGCAAACGGG